GCCUCUAUAGCUCAGUGGUUAGAGUGCGACAUUGGUAAAGGCUUACUCUCGAUAGUGAGCGUUCAAAGAUGUCGAGGUCCCGGGUUCAAGUCCCGGUAGAGGCU
rnacentral:tRNA from 1 species